GGCCGGUGGAUGGGAGCUGCCGCCGGACCGUGCCUAGCGGGAUGGGACUGGGGGCUCCCGCCGCUCUGUUGGGGGAAAUCCACAGCACGGUGUCCUUGAACAACACGAGGCAUCAUACCACAGAGUAAACUCGGGGAAGAAAAAAAAAAAAGAAAAAAAAGGAAAAAAGACCACAACAAAUAUCAGAGAAGCCAAGAGAUCAUUAUCUGUGGGACUGAAAUAUGUGGAGCAAUAAAACUUUUACUAAGAAGUUGCAAUUGAAAAAACUCGGUUGCACAGACCCUGACACCGGAAAACCUUCUCUCCUUACAAAAAAGACACAGGCUAAUGCUAAGAAACAUCUGUCUUCAGCUAUCCUUACAAGAUACUGCCAAAAUAUUUUUCUUGUCUCCUGCAUCCCAAGUAUUUUUGUCACACACUUCUUUUCUAACACAGCCAAGACUUCUGCAGCCCAGUUUAUCUUUUCUGUUCUGUUUGCUAGGGUCUUAAUUACCUCAUACUUCUCCGCUUCCAGCCAUGGCUGUUACUUUUUACUACUCUAGUAAGUAUCUGACAGAAGUAACUUGUACCCACUUACUAGUUAACACCUUGCAACUUUAUCCGUAUCUCCUCAUCUUUUCAAGCAUAUAAUACAGAUUUCUGCAGCAUUUCAAGAUUUUACAGCUACGUUGUUGCUUUUUCCUCAACAGUUUCAAUUCUGAACGAGGUCAGGAAGAUAUUGCUGCAAUAAAAGCAGGAACAACUUCUCCUACUGCAGAUACCUAACAAAUUAAAAGUGAAAAAAAGUUACAGGGCAGGAACUACACACUAAUUGGUAUUACCGCGCUUGAGUUACUAUUUAUUCUAAACUGGCACUAGCAGUGAUGUGCAGACGGAAGGAGCCUGCUGUCCACAGUGUCUCUUGUUCACUGCCCAUUUGGCCUCUGCACCAGGAAAUGCCCCCUGGACAUUCACAAAAGCACAAGGAGUAAGUUCCCUGCGGUAGCUCACCUGAAAAAUCCAUUCAAACCAAGGAUUUUAUAUCUCCUACUCUGAGUAACCAGGUCUUCUGCCCAAGCCCCAUUUCUUUCAGAAAUAAUUUCACAGACAUCAGAUCCCAACCAUUCUUGAAUAAUUUAUGGCCUGGAGGGUAACAAAUCUUUUUCAUGAAUAUCUGUAACCUCCUACUAAUAAAUAAUUAACUGUCUCCUCAUUAACAGUACUAAGAAUAAAAAAAGCAUUACAUUUCA